GUGCUUGCUUAGGCAGCACAUAUACUAAAAUUGGAACAAUACAGAGAAGAUUAGCGUGGCCCCUGUGCAAAGAUGACACACAAAUCUGUGAAGCGUUCAAAUGCUGA
ensembl:snRNA U6 U6 spliceosomal RNA